UAAAAACUGGUACUUUUUAUUUCUUCUGGUCCCUCUCAUAAAGAUUCGUGCUUUCCCUAUGGAAAUGGGUUGCUGGCCUUAGCAUUCAUUAUUUUGUUCAACUGAGGAGGCACAAGAUUAAUUCCCUGAAAAGAGUGGAGUUUUUUCACCCAAAAGAAGAAAGAAAGGUUUGAGCUUUAGUGUGCAAUGGCUUUGUUCAGAUGGGUUAAUUAAUUUGCGGGUGAAGGGUCAGCUCAGCAAGGCACCUCGGGUUUCAUCUCAGCUCACCAAACCCCUCAUGGGUUGCUUCAGACCAUCCUUGUCAGGUGCCUCAAAGGUUUUAGACCAAAAAAUGGCUGUGAGAAAGACUACAGUUGGGACAUGUGUCACAGGUACUCUGGGGUCAAAUUGCUGAGACAGAUCAAUCCGGGUGAGAUGGAUAAGAAGACUAAGAAGAAGGAGGGUUUUGAAACUGGAUUUUGAAGGGCUCUGUGCAAAUUGUAGAGAUUUGUUCUGGCGGAGUGAUGUGAAUGAGUCUUGCAUAAAGAAAGAGGGAAAGAAUUUGCGAAUAGGAAAUGGUUUUGAGGAGUUUUUUCUGGAAGAACAUGAAUGUUCUUCACUCCCACAGCUUUCACAGUUCAUAGUAGGAAUUAAGAAAGACAGUCUUUGCUACUGAGAAGGAGGUGGUUUGUAGGGCUCAAAAAAGUCUUUUUUACAUUUACAGAGGAACGUAUGCUUCUCUAUGUCGCUCUUUUGGCCCUUGGUUUCUCUUCAUAUCUGGUAAAUAUGUUCAGGAGGAAGGAUUUGCUGGAACAAGGCGUCAUGUGGGUGCCUCAUGCUUAUUGAGGAAGAACUUGAAAAUCUCAGUCUACAUCCAAGCUGUGCUCCAGCAUCAGAGGAGGGGCAACCUAAGGACAUAUUCGAUGAAUGAAACACUUCACUUGUGAAACAAAAAGUUCAAAAAUAAGAAGGUUUGCAUAUUUGCAUAUGGCCUAAUGGGUUCUGGAUUUCUAGAAUAACCUAUGCCAUGAAGGGACCUUGUUCAGACCAGACCAAGCUAGUUAUUCUCUUCAAGCCCAGGGCUGGAAAUACAGAAUGCAGAUGGGAAAGUUUGACAUGGGUUUUUAGAAUGGUUAUAGACCAAUUUUGGUUAACCAGAAGAACUCACUGGGAAAAUAUUUGUUCUUUGGUAUGCAAUGGUGGUCUGCGACUUGAGGGGAUCAAGCCAGAGGUGACUCGAAAUGGGGAUAUGAAGAAAAAAUCUAGGAGUGACAUGAAAACGCGAAAUGGUCACAGGAUGAAGGUGCAUCGCCUUGGGUUUUGCAAUAUCUGAAUGGCCACAGGGUGAAGGAUCAGCUGUUCAAGGCUCAUCAGGUUUCAUCUCAGCUCCAAGGCGCUGAUGGUUGCUUCAGACCAUCCUUGUCAGUUAAAGAACUACACAGCAUAUCACGUAAUUCCUGUAAGUAAUGAGCAGAUCGUUUGGAUUGGCAGAUAAAUUUCAUGAGGCCAUUUGGAGAUGUGGUCGGAGAUAUGAGGUAAUUAUGUUACACAUAUAUAAUUUGCAGGAGGCUUUACUGUCUUUUCAUUGAAUCUGUUGUUACAUAUUUGAAUACACUGAUACUGAAUUAAAGCAUAUUGAAUUUGGUCUUAGUGGAGCUGAGUAUAUGAAAUUGUUUUUCCUGCUUGAAUAUAUGUGGACUUGGAAGUAUUGAACUGAAAGAUGCCAGAGCUCAAUUGGUUGGUAUGGAUAUAAUGCCCAGCAAAUUGCCAGGGUAUUCUUGGAGUGAAUUUGGAUUAUAUAUGGAGAUAGACCCCAAUCCUGAUUUUCAAAUAACCUGUGCAGCUGAAUAUGCAGAAACUAUUUUGAAAGACUGUUCUUUUAUUCUAUAUCGUGGAAACUCUAAAUUAAAGGUGUACCUUGGGUUUUACUCAGUUCAUCAAGUUAUAGUUACCCUAAUAAAAUCACUGUCGUUUGAUUAAAUGAAAUCCGGAGUUCUGCUUGAUGUUCUAAUAAUUUGCUUGAUGAGACAAAUUGCCACAGGGUGAAGGAACUGUGAAAGGCUCCUCAGGUUUCAUGUCAGGUCUUCCAAAGCGUUCAUGGUUGCUUCAGACCAUCCUCGUUAGGAGCCUUUCAAUGUGAAGCCACCACGUUCAGCUCUAGCUGCCUCAUAUGUUACUCUCGUGGAUUUGGUCUACUAUAGAAAUCACAGUCCUAUUCAAAUAAUCGAUGACAUCCACAGGUCAUCUGAUUUUUGCUUAGCAGUAUGUGCUUAUCAUAAAGAAGUUGGGUUUUUGUUAAACAAGUGGACACUUCCCAAGCAUAAUGUCACUGCCACGUGAUAGUGCAGGUUAUAUAAGGGAAACUACAAGCAAAACUCCGACUGUCCGUGGAGUAAUAUAAGUGAAGGAGGAAGUCGGCGUUUGAUGUGCUUCCGCAACCUCAGUUUUCCUUUGCUCGCUAUAAAGGAAUUGGGAGUGAUGCUCUGGUGGCCAAUUGAAUUGUACUCAGACGUGCACAACUGUCGUUGGAUUUAGAUCCAAAGAUGGAGAAUAUGAGAACACAUCAAUCACAAGAUCAAAUCAUACAACACACAUCAAGAACAAAUAAACCAGCUGCACAACAUCCAUGCAAUCUGCAGAAUAGCUUUCCUAGUGGCACUAGGACUCCACCUGGAUCAAUGACGCUCUGGAUCCCUGCAGAAACAGUUUGGCCUAGGUUCGACAUCUUGAGCAACUUGGAACAAGGAUUGAAUAGCAGCAGAACUUGAGCAGAAAGCCUUCUGUAUGUCAACACCAAAAACUUCAGUUCUGUAUGUCGACACCAAAAGCUUCAGAAUGGAGCUGAAACUGGUGAUGAAUACAGGGACUUUGCUCCCUAUUUAUAUUGGCCAAUAAACCUGAGCUGGACUCAUAACAUAAGGAGUCCAAUACUUGCUUCGUGUUUAUCUUGAUAGGACUAUAGGAGACUUGUUGUUUAUCACAAAUACUCGAUGUAAUUCAAGUUAAUUACUAAUGAGCUUCCUACUUCUAUUAAGAGACAUACUUCUCAAUAGAUGACCAGAACUUCCUACUUCUAUUAAGAGACAUACUUCUCAAUAGAUGACCAGAAUU